GAACAAAGAGCGGCGUUCUACCCCCGGCGGUAGUACAUAAUGGCGGAUUCAAGUGGUGUGGCAGCGGGCUCAGAACAUAGGCGGCGAUGUUCGGUCUUCACGGUGGUGGUUCGUGGGUGUAUAGAGAAGGGAGAAGGUUGAUGUGUGUCAAAAUAACAGGUAAUCUCGCAGAGAUCUUUGACAAAACACCAGAAAACGCAAACUGAAUGAUAUAAACCCAAACAAACGAAGAUUGUUUGUUUUUUUUUUAAAUAAAAGAUCUGAAAAAUGCUUAUAUUAGCUUCAAAAAAAAGUCACUACCUACCAUCUUCACAAACCUCUUCAGAUCUUCAAAACGUAUCACUCUCCAAAUUAUCUUUCUCCUCUCUCUCUCUCCCUCUUUAAAACCCAGCACCACCACCAUCUCCACCUCCACCUUCAACCCACCUCCACCGUCACCUUCAACCCACCUCCACCUCCACCUUCAACCCACCUCCACCGUCAUCUUCCUCCUCUCUCUCUUUUGCCCUCUUUAGGGAUUAUUAUUAACAACACUUGUAUAGUGACAGGCAGCCUGCCAGAUUUACCGGAACGGUGAUGAAACCGGCUACGGUUGCCGCAACGGUGGACAUGUCCACCGGCCAGAUAUUUUCCCCAAGUCGUUGAAUAUCUACAGCGUCAAAGAGAAAUAAUUUUUGAAUCAUAGAAGAUGGUGAGACCGUAUGCACUUUAAGGGGCGAAAGAGGAAGAAGAACAAAACAGAAAGAUGUGUCCACUAAAUUCCAACCCUAAAUUCCAACCCUUAUGUUGAGUGGUGUCUUGUGUUUAGAAAAAAACAACACGGAAGUGUGCACUAGUAGAGGUGAGAUAUUUGUAUUUAAUUUUGUGAUCACACGUUUGGAGCUGCAAAUUUAUUUGGGUUGUAUUUUGAUUAUAUGUAGCAACUGAUAUGAGUGGAUAUUGAAGUUCUUAUCUUUUUUCUGGCCAGAUUCGUUUUUUUUUCGACGGGUUUGAGUGGUGGUGCUGGUGGUUUGGGCAGUGUAGUGGUGGUGGAGGUGGUGGUUGUAUUAUGGUUUUUUUUAUGUAACUUGAAUGUUAAAUGACUUUUAUCAACUG